CUGACAGAAGAGAGUGAGCACAAGCAGGCAUUUGUAUGAAGAGCAUGCCUUUGCAGGCCUGUGCUCACAUCUCUUUCUGUCAG
rnacentral:pre_miRNA from 1 species